UCGGGAAUUUUGGGCAAUGGGGGAAACCCUGACCCAGCAACGCCGCGUGAAGGAUGAAGUAUUUCGGUAUGUAAACUUCGAAAGAAUAGGAAGAAUAAAUGACGGUACUAUUUAUAAGGUCCGGCUAACUACGUGCCAGCAGCCGCGGUAAUACGUAGGGACCAAGCGUUGUUCGGAAUCACUGGGCGUAAAGGGUGUCGAGGCGGUUGUAUUAGUCGUUCGUAAAAUCUACGAGCUUAACUUGUAGGCGGCGAACGAAACGGUACGACUUGAGGUUUGGAGAGGUGCGUGGAACUCACGGUGUAGGGGUGAAAUCCGUUGAUAUCGUGGGGAACACCAAAGGCGAAGGCAGCGCACUGGCCAAAAUCUGACGCUCACACACGAAAGCUAGGGUAGCGAAGAGGAUUAGAUACCCAAGUAGUCCCUGAGCGGGCUGGCAAGGCGCAU
rnacentral:rRNA from 1 species